CCUACGGGGGGCAGCAGUGGGGAAUAUUGCACAAUGGGCGCAAGCCUGAUGCAGCCAUGCCGCGUGUAUGAAGAAGGCCUUCGGGUUGUAAAGUACUUUCAGCGGGGAGGAAGGUGUUGUGGUUAAUAACCGCAGCAAUUGACGUUACCCGCAGAAGAAGCACCGGCUAACUCCGUGCCAGCAGCCGCGGUAAUACGGAGGGUGCAAGCGUUAAGCGGAAUUACUGGGCGGAAAGCGCACGCAGGCGGUCUGUCAAGUCGGAUGGGAAAUCCCCGGGCUCAACCUGGGAGCUGCAUUCGAAACUGGCAGGCUAGAGUCUUGUAGAGGGGGGUAGAAUGCCAGGUGUAGCGGUGAAAUGCGUAGAGAUCUGGAGGAAUACCGGUGGCGAAGGCGGCCCCCUGGACAAAGACUGACGCUCAGGUGCGAAAGCGUGGGGAGCAAACAGGAUUAGAUACCCGGGUAGUC
rnacentral:rRNA from 1 species